UUUGCUUAUGAGACUCAGAAAACAAACAAAACAAAUAUCAAAAAGCAAAAAGGUGGCUAAUCUUUGCUUAUGUGACUCAGAAAACAAAAAACAAAGCAAAACAAAACAAAAAGGUGGCUAAUCUUUGCUUAUGUGACUCAGAAAACAAAAAACAAGCAAAACAAAACAAAACAGUGGCUAAUCUUUGCUUAUGUGACUCAGAAAA